rnacentral:rRNA from 1 species
GACGAACGCUGGCGGCGUGCUUAACACAUGCAAGUCGAACGAUGAAGCCGGAGCUUGCUCUGGUGAAUUAGUGGCGAACGGGUGAGUAACACGUGAGUAACCUGCCCUUGACUCUGGGAUAACUGCUAGAAAUGGUAGCUAAUACCGGAUACGACCCUCGGCGGCAUCGCCAGGGGGUGGAAAGAAUUUCGGUCAAGGAUGGACUCGCGGCCUAUCAGCUAGUUGGUGAGGUAACGGCUCACCAAGGCGACGACGGGUAGCCGGCCUGAGAGGGUGACCGGCCACACUGGGACUGGGACACGGCCCAGACUCCUACGGGAGGCAGCAGUGGGGAAUAUUGCACAAUGGGCGCAAGCCUGAUGCAGCAACGCCGCGUGAGGGAUGACGGCCUUCGGGUUGUAAACCUCUUUUAGUGGGGAAGAAGCGAAAGUGACGGUACCUGCAGAAAAAGCACCGGCUAACUACGUGCCAGCCGCCGCCGUAA